rnacentral:rRNA from 1 species
UACACUCCUACGGGAGGCAGCAGUGGGGAAUAUUGCACAAUGGGCGCAAGCCUGAUGCAGCCAUGCCGCGUGUAUGAAGAAGGCCUUCGGGUUGUAAAGUACUUUCAGCGGGGAGGAAGGCGAUAAGGUUAAUAACCUUGUCGAUUGACGUUACCCGCAGAAGAAGCACCGGCUAACUCCGUGCCAGCAGCCGCGGUAAUACGGAGGGUGCAAGCGUUAAUCGGAAUUACUGGGCGUAAAGCGCACGCAGGCGGUCUGUCAAGUCGGAUGUGAAAUCCCCGGGCUCAACCUGGGAACUGCAUUCGAAACUGGCAGGCUAGAGUCUUGUAGAGGGGGGUAGAAUUCCAGGUGUAGCGGUGAAAUGCGUAGAGAUCUGGAGGAAUACCGGUGGCGAAGGCGGCCCCCUGGACAAAGACUGACGCUCAGGUGCGAAAGCGUGGGGAGCAAACAGGAUUAGAAACCCCGGUAGUCCCA